rnacentral:rRNA from 1 species
UACGUAGGGCGCGAGCGUUGUCCGGAAUUAUUGGGCGUAAAGAGCUCGUAGGCGGCCUGUUGCGUCCGCUGUGAAAUCCCAGGGCUUAACCCUGGGCGUGCAGUGGAUACGGGCAGGCUGGAGGCAGGCAGGGGAGACUGGAAUUCCUGGUGUAGCGGUGAAAUGCGCAGAUAUCAGGAGGAACACCGGUGGCGAAGGCGGGUCUCUAGUACGGUACUGACGCUGAGACGCGAAAGCGUGGGGAGCGAACAGG